rnacentral:misc_RNA from 1 species
GAUGAAGAACGUAGCGAAAUGCGAUAAGUAGUGUGAAUUGCAGAAGUACCGUGAAUCAUCGAAUCUUUGAACGCAAAUUGCACUCUCUGGUAUUCCGGGGAGUAUGCCUGUUUGAGGGUCGCUUAACAAACCAUCGAUUUCGUUGCUUUUUUUUUAAAAAGUGAUGUUUAUCGGAUUUGAGCCGUCUUUUUUUUUUAUAUUUAAGUGGCUUAAAAUUGAUUUUUUUGUUACGAUCGAAGCGUAUUUUUAUGAUCAAUUUUUGGUUAAAGAAACGCACACGUACCGUUAUUUAUAUGAUGUAAUACGUUUGACUAUUGGAUUUAGUUCAUUCGUAUACGAUAUUUUUCAAUAUUUGACCUCAAAUCAGGUAAGAACACCCGCUGAACUUAAGCAUAUCAAUAAGCGGAGGA